GGCUUGAUAGCUUGGUUGGUAGAGCAUUCGACCAUAGAUCGAAAGGUCCCGGGUUCAAAUCCCGGACGAUUCA
rnacentral:tRNA from 1 species